rnacentral:rRNA from 1 species
ACGGCCGCAAGGUUAAAACUCAAAUGAAUUGACGGGGGCCCGCACAAGCGGUGGAGCAUGUGGUUUAAUUCGAUGCAACGCGAAGAACCUUACCUGGUCUUGACAUCCACGGAAGUUUUCAGAGAUGAGAAUGUGCCUUCGGGAACCGUGAGACAGGUGCUGCAUGGCUGUCGUCAGCUCGUGUUGUGAAAUGUUGGGUUAAGUCCCGCAACGAGCGCAACCCUUAUCCUUUGUUGCCAGCGGUCCGGCCGGGAACUCAAAGGAGACUGCCAGUGAUAAACUGGAGGAAGGUGGGGAUGACGUCAAGUCAUCAUGGCCCUUACGACCAGGGCUACACACGUGCUACAAUGGCGCAUACAAAGAGAAGCGACCUCGCGAGAGCAAGCGGACCUCAUAAAGUGCGUCGUAGUCCGGAUUGGAGUCUGCAACUCGACUCCAUGAAGUCGGAAUCGCUAGUAAUCGUGGAUCAGAAUGCCACGGUGAAUACGUUCCCGGGCCUUGUACACACCGCCCGUCACACCAUGGGAGUGGGUUGCAAAAGAAGUAGGUAGC